rnacentral:sRNA from 1 species
GCAAAUAAUUUGCCAGAAGCUAAUUUGAAUUUUAAACUUGUUGCAAAUUUGCAGCAAAUGUUUGCUACAAAUUUCAACAAACUUUUCGCAUAUUUAUGGUAAUUAACCGUUUGCCAGAAGCCUUAUUUUUUGGUGAGGCAGUUUCUGUUUUGAGUUGAUAAUAUCAUCAUUCUGUUCAAAUUCCUAUGCUUACAUCAUUAACCUAGUUUUUAUCAAUACCAAAUGGCAUAUUUAAUAAUAUGAAUUGUUAUUUAAUAUGUAUGAUAUUAUGUAUAUAUUUUUUAAUAACCAUUGCCAUAGAAGAGCAGAGCUAGAUUUAAUCCUAUUUUAAGAAACACAUGUAAAUAUACAUGAGCGUGUACCAUAUUACAGUUGUUAUUCAGUUAUGAAAUGUCAAUAUAAUCAGUAGUACAUGUAGUACUUUUAAAGAACAAAGUGCCAGACUGAAUAGAAAAACAACUUCAUUCCCAAUUUUAGAUGAUCUUUUCAGACAGUCAGAGGCGUACCUCGCACGCUGUAAAAGGGCACUUGUUUUGUACACAGGCACCCACCAGAAAGCGAUAUGCUUUCAGUGUAUAUCUAAUGAUGAACUUGAGAGUAUUAUUUAAAAAAAGACUCUGAUUGAUGGAAUAUAAAAUACAGAAUACACAAUGAAUACAAGAUAAAAAUCAAAGCGGGCUAGAAAUGUAGUGUUCCCAGAUCCCUUGUGAUUUGUUAUGCUUGGUGUUGUCAUUGAGGUGUCACCAUCAUGCCUUGUUCAGCAUAACGUCAUGUGAAUGUACUUAUUUUAACAAAACUGAUUCCAAU